CCAAUGGCAGGGCUGUAAAAACUACGAAAUGGCUUUAAAAUUCUGAUCUGGAUUUAAACUAGCGGAACAGAAAACAACCAGACUGUCAAAACCACCCCCAACUGUCUGUGUGCGCUGGCAGAGCUUCGCCGGUCCUGGGAUUAGUUGUUAUGUAGCUGGACAGUCUAGGGGGUGCUGGAUCUGCCAGGAACCUCCCUUCCUUUGGGAUUUGUCAUGUUCCUGAUGCUGGUGAUACCGUGGAGUGUUCCCAGGAAGGUUUCAUAGCGCAGGACCAUUUUAUUCUAUCAAAAAAUUGCCCAAGACAUGUAAUAAGUCUCUCACUUCUGAGUGUCUUUCAAAUCAGAUUUUGAUUCACAUUUUUCUUUAAACCAUUUUUGUUUGUUGGCUGGUUGUUUUAGGCUUAUUUUUUUUCUCUAACAGAACUUACUAAUGUCACCAAUUUUCUUAUUAAUGUUAAUAGCUAUAGAAAUGCUUUGCCAGUUCUUUCAAAUUUUUUGCAAAAACCAAUAAACAUAGUUUAUUCUUCUAAUGUUCAAUAUAAUAACAUGAUUUUAGGUUUAUUUCUGAAUAAUUGUCUUUGGCCACAAUCUUACCUUAAUAAAUGAUGUAAGUAUAAAUGAAUAGUCUGGUGAUGGAGCAAUUUUCCAUCAGCAUUCUCUGGGGCUGGCUUGAAAGGGAAGUCCGUGCUUUUCUGUUAACUUCAGCUACUUGUUUGAUGCAAGAGAUUAGUAAACUAUGGCAGAUGAUGCUAAAUCCCAGAAGAGGUCUAGUAAUAUGAUGAUGGGUGACCGUCCUCUCCCAUCCAUGGCCAGGAGGAGGUUAUCCAUCGCUGGGACCAAUGCCAUGUCCUGAUAUGAAGCCUGAUUGGGAGGGCGUCUGGUACGUUAGCAGGGUAUAGUUCGAAAUGCUGUUUUCUUUGUGUUUACAUUAUCUUGUUUAAGACACUGUGUUUGUAAAAAUCUUAGUUAUUAUAAUACACUAAGUUAGUUGGCAAGGUUCCUAGGGCUUGUUAGCCAGUGACAGUUAAGAUUAGGUUUUACUUCACAGAAGAUGGGCUAUGUGCAGUAUCCUAUCUUCCCUCCGCAUCUAUCAAUGAUAUUUUAGUGUAGUUAAGACACAGGCAGGUUAAGGUUGCAAACAACAAAAUGGUGUUUAUUGAGAUACACAACAACAAACUAGGACUCCCUGCAACUAAGAUAACACAAAGAAUAACUGCUCGGUUGUUAACACAGAUGGUGGACAUGGGGAUGAACUCCAGAGCCCAAACUCUUACACAGUGGGAUUUUACAGAAGGACUAUACCAUGUCUUGCAGACACUGGCCAGGAGAACAGGAACACAGACAGGAACAAGGACCUCAGGGACAUGUGUCAGGAAUGGGAACACAACAGGAAUUGGACCUUAGGAUCUUUGGUGCCAGGAAACCUCUAUCUGUUAUUGCCGGAACUCCUUCUAUAGACACAUACUCAGCAGUUCUGGAUACAUCCCCUCGAACGAUCCCGUGGUCUGACUCUCCACCCACUCCCUGCCACCUAGCACAGUAAAGGAAUUUGACUCAGAGAUGCUGAAUCAAUGGGAACUGUGGAUGCUCAGACUGAAACUCGGACCACAUAUACUUUGGUUGACAUUGAACACUACUAAAUGUGUUGCAUCAGAAUAAGAAAAACACUUAAAGAAUUUUCCUUCUCUGAUAUGAGGGAUCUAUUCUCAUGGGCCCAAAUCUGCUGACUUUCCUCAUCUUAAACAUUUUCCAGUUUCAUCCUAUUUGAGAUGGGAAUGACCAGAUCCAGGCACAAUAUUCAAGGUGUGGGCACACCAUGGAUUUAUAUAGAGUUAACAGGUUACCAAACCCUCAUUUUUCAAAUCCAAAAUUGUGUGUUGCGUUGGUCAUCCAUUGCUGAUGCUGAUGAUGAUCUUGUUGCAAUUCUCAUCUAUGGCUAUGCAUGUGACUCGGAACCCUGAUGCACAGUUGGCCACACUGAGGGUAUGGAAAGUCCGUAUCUAUGAUGUUUGAUGAUGCAACUCACGGUGUCCACGUGCAGCCUGGAGACAAUUUCGUCGAUCCCGCUCAAACCUCUUACAUACUGAUCUUGUUAGAGACCACCAGUGAGUCCUGUUCUGAGUCAUUUGCUCGAGUUCUUUAAAAUUGAUGCGAGCCCACUGGAGAUGACUCGUGAAGUUAUCUUUGAAGUGUUUAUAUGGAUGACCCUUCUUUCUUUUGCCCUAACUCAUCUCCCCUUGCAAGAUCUGUUUUGAGUGAGGUGGUCUUCCAAUCCAAUGACAUGUCCGGUCCACCUAAGUUAUGCUCUCAAUUGCAUUUUCUCAGUGCUGGUUGUGUUUGCUCUCUCAAGGACCUUAAUAUUGGUCACUUUGUCUGUCUUGCCAGCAAAUGCUCAUUGUUGAGCAGAGGGAGUGCAUAUGAAGUUGCUCAAGCUGUUUAAUAUCAGAGGGGUAGCCGUGUUAGUCUGAAUCUGUAAAAAGCAACAGAGGGUCCUGUGGCACCUUUAAGACUAACAGAAGUAUUGGGAGCAUAAGCUUUCAGAUGCAUCUGAAGAAGUGAGGUUCUUACCCACGAAAGCUUAUGCUCCCAAUACUUCUGUUAGUCUUAAAGGUGCCACAAGACCUUCUGAAGCUGUUUAAUGUGUCAUCUGUGAAGAGUCCAAAAUUGCCAUGUCACUUACAGUCCGUGUUUAGUCUAAAUUGCAAGAGCAUGAUAAAGAUAAAUGAACAGCAUUUUUAUCUCCCAUUUAAAAAGUAUAAUAAAAUUUCUCUCCCAAAAUGAUACGGUAUUUUAUACUGUGUUUUGACUGAUACCUUCCCUUUCCCUGCAAGCACCACAAGUAAUAUAUAUUAAGAGAAAUGGAGGCUUAGGGUGGAAAUGUGCUUGCAAAAGGGAUGCUUUUUUCUUCCUGAAAAGUAGAAAGUUGCUCAGCAUCCUAUUCUGGCAUUUGCAUUUCAUGAUGGCUUGCAGCAUUGCAAGCUCUGGCAAAAUAUUUCCAAGGAACUGCAAACUCAGAAUUGAGCUUCACCAGUUCCAUGUUGCUGGUAUGUGACUGGAGACAGAUUUAGUUUUUUUUUUAAUAAAUCCUCAACAGAAGACUUUUCAGCUCUGGCUCUGAACAAAGGACCCCCCUCCUAUUUUUCCACUCAAGGCCACACACAGCUCCUGCUGUCCUUGGCUGAGGAAGAAGACUGGAUUGGACAUUCCCAUCAAACUCAUCAGCACUGCUCUCUGAUCAGCCACUGGGGGCACUGCAAAGUUCCUGUUCUUGUGAACAUCCAUGCACUGUUGCAGGUCAAGCGCUGUUAAUUGUGGGUGUUAAAACUGUAGACUAUUUCUUUGUUUCUUGCUAGUACCUGCUUUGAUUUCGUUGGUACAUAAACACUGUAGAGCUCUUUAAGUU